CGCUGACCACGGUCACCGCCAGCCGCAAGCAGCAGCUGCCACCGCGGUGCUCUGUGAGCUGGGGACAGCCCGCUUCUGGGCCUCUUAACAACAGCAACAAAGAGAGGCUUGCAAUUCAAAAUAAAAAUCCAGAAGCAGGUUUGACAGCCUGUGUCAGCAGUGACUGUGGUGCGUGCAAACCAGCAGAAAGUCGCCAGCACCCUGCAUGUGCUGCCACGCCCGCUCCCUCGCCCCGUGCCCCAGGGCCCGCAGGACACCCGCAUGGGCAAACCCACGGCUCGGCACGGCUGGCACCCAGCCAGCAGCACGCUUCUCGCCGCUGGCUGUCCCCUUGUCCCCUGCACGGUGACAGGGACAGGACGUCACCUCACCACCGCCACGGUGCUGGUGGGGUCAGCAGGCUGCCAAAAACACCUAUCAGUACUGCAAGACUGUGCUCUCUGGCCUUGUUAUGCUAUCCUGCUUAAGAAAUUUCACAUGCUUAGUCAUUCUUUUUUGUGUAAAUAUCAUGGUAAAAAGACAUGACAUUUUCUGGGCCAUUCUUCAGUAUUAAUAAGAUUCCAAGUAGAGGGUGACCUUUUCACAAAGGAUUUGUAAAUGCCAAAAACUGCAUAAAACUCUCUGUUUCUGAGGCAGAGUGAGGCUUCAUAAUUUUGCAUUUAUUUCUUAAAUGCUGUUUUCUUGCCUUUCCACUUUGGUUUUUAUCAUCCCUUUCCACCGAACGGCCAUGAUGAAACCUGCACCUCCACUAACAGCCACAAAAGAAUGAGAAAAUCCAACAGUAAAACAACAGCUCACCAAGGGAAUCAUUUUGCUGCGGAGCAGAACAAAUUGAAGCAAAGAAACGGAAAAAGGCCGGGGCGCAGUGGGGAGGGUCCCAGGGGGCUGCGCACCCCUGGGGGAGGCGCUGAGCACCAUGCAGAGCAGCAGGGACCCGCGCCACCAUCGCCUGCAGGUAGCACCAGCACCUGCAGGUAGCACCAGCACCUGGGCUGGUCUCUGUCAGCACCAGCAGAGAGAAGGAAGCCCCCAGACCCCAAGGCUCCUGCAGCAGUCCUGGCUCCAGGCAACACUGGCAGCACGACAGAGCAGUGACAGCCUCAUCCCUCAGCGGAGGAGCAGCAGGUCCAGCCCAUGCUGGCCUCGGCCAUGUCCUUGUCACCCAGCCAGAGCAGGAGCCCCAGCGUGCCCCAGCACAUUCUGCUUUCGUUGGAGAUGGCAAAUGUUUGUGUCCGUCCCUGCAAGCCUCUUGCAAAGCCAUUGUGAUUUGCUCUAUGUAGCUUAAUGAGAAAAUGAGUAAAUCCCUCCCUGGAUUUUUACUUUCAAUUCAGCUGUCCAAAACACUGAAUAUUUGAAUCUCUUAUAACUUAAAAUGUUAUGCUCUCAUUUUUAUUUUAAGAGGCACAUGUGCUUUUACAGCAUAGGAAAUCUGUAGCAGUGCUUCCACCAAGAGGGCUUUAUUCACAAACUUAUGAAUAUGUAUCGCUGACUAUUCAUUUGGGGAAACACAUUUAAUAGCCCU
rnacentral:lncRNA from 1 species